UACAGAGGUGGCAAGCGUUGUUCGGAAUUACUGGGCGUAAAGGGCGCGUAGGCGGUUGCCUAAGUCGGACGUGAAAUCCCCAAGCUUAACUUGGGAACUGCAUCUGAUACUGGGUGACUUGAGUUCGGGAGAGGAAUGUGGAAUUCCAGGUGUAGCGGUGAAAUGCGUAGAUAUCGGGAGGAACACCGGUAGCGAAGGCGGUUCUCUGGGCCGGUACUGACGCUGAGGAGCGAAAGCGUGGGGAGCAAACAGG
rnacentral:rRNA from 1 species